rnacentral:rRNA from 1 species
UACGAAGGGGGCUAGCGUUGUUCGGAAUUAUUGGGCGUAAAGGGCGCGUAGGCGGUUCGUUAAGUCAGUUGUGAAAGCCCGGGGCUCAACCCCGGAGAGUCGACUGAUACUGGCGGGCUAGAGUACGGAAGAGGUAGCUGGAAUUCCCGGUGUAGCGGUGAAAUGCGUAGAUAUCUGGAGGAACACCGGUGGCGAAGGCGGCAUCCUGGACCGGCAUUGACGCUGAGGCGCGAAAGCUAGGGGAGCAAACGGG